CUUUGAUUUUCCAGCUGCUGCCUAGCGUCUCCCACACGAAGAACAUUACCUUUGUGUGGCCAGGAGCCGAGAUGCAGUCUGAAUGUGCACGGCGGCUUCUGACGUGGCAGCAUGAAUUCUCAGCUGGGCAGAGCCUGAGAGAGAUCAUCAUGGAUGCGGCUUUUAACAAUUUGGGGGGAAAAAGAAAAAGAAAAUGACAGCCUGUGGAGACAGCGAUUUGAGGAAGCAGCACAUUGAGGUUAUUGCCAAUUUGAAAUACUGGGUUUGUGAAUCCAAGCCCUAAGGGAGUAGCCGGGUAACUGAGAAAGAGAUCGCAGAUAAAGAAAUAAAAAUGACAGGCGUAAUGGAGGCUCUGCGACGGGACUGUCAGAGCGUCAGUUCAUGGAUGGCAAUCUCGCCAGGCGGAGAUUGAAUAAUUCAUAGACGGAAACUACCCUGCCUUCACCUUCCCAUUUAAACCAGGCACGAGCUGAAUCUCUAAUAAAUUUUCAAGAUAAAGUAAAAUGCCAAUUUGAAUCUGAAGAGCUUUUAAAAGCAGAUGUCGCCUGCAUCCCCGAAUCUUUCGGUAUCUUUUCACAAUUAUGCUCUGAGGAGCGCACUUCAUCAGGAAGCACCAUUACCAGGGAAAAUGACUGUGAUUACAAUAGCAACAAUGGGAUGCCAUCGAGUGAUCUCUAAUUUACCUAAUUUGCUAAGACUGACUGGCUUAAAUACCCAUUGUGUGUUGCCAUGCCCCGUCCAAGGAUCUAUCUCAAGACAGAACAAAAGUGGCAUGGUGUGUGUGCUACCUUGAUUCACACAGAGUCUAGGGUUCAGCAGUCUCCUAAGUUACAAUGUCUCUGUCAUCUGCUUUUCAUUUUUGUCAGGGUUUUGCCUUUUUUUUUUCUUCAGUGCUUAGCCCUAAAUGCCUUUUGAGGGGGAAAAUGGCAAACCUAUCUUUGCUACAGAACAGUCUGAGUUGUUAAUUUAUACAUUAAAAAAAAUUUAAACUAUACAAGCAUGUGUCUGUUUAAGGGGAGGAGUGAUUCAGUGCUGGAAGAAAGGUUUAACAAGCCAACUGCGAUGGUGUGUGUGUGUGCGUGUGUGUGUGUGUGUGUGUGUGUGUGUGUGUGUGUGUGUGUUUCCUCCAUAUGAAAUUCUUUCCCAGGAUUUGCGAUCCCUGUGGUAUUUUAAGAACCUCUCCAACUGCAAAUCUCAGGUAGCAGAGCCAGAAAUCACUCCCUGUAGCUCUGUCACAAAGACUGUGUGCCUCGUUCCACGAUGCGUCAAGGCUUUUAGGCUGCGUGGCUGUGUUUGUGCCUGCUCAGGGUGCAGAAGUCCGUGCUAGGGAGAACUUUUUGUCUGGCAGACUGCACCACUCAUCUCAAGGUGAAUGUGCCAUUCUGAGGAGGUGGCACGGACUAUCCAUCCUUCCUGGGGAACAGAGCGGAAUCAUUUAGCAGACAUGGGGGCUUCUGGAAUUGUCCUUCUAAUAUCCUGGAGACAGCACUUGGUUCAUGCCAAACAGCAAUGCCUUUGCGUUUGAAUAUUUCAGGGAGGGACCAGAGGUAUGUAUGGCAGCCGUUUGAGAAGAAGGUCCCAAAUCCCUCUCUCAAAACCUUGGGAUUUUGCUUGAGACUCAGCCUUGAUGUGUUCCUUUUUAAUCAUUCACCUGAUUUACCCCCUCCUGUAUGUUUCCCCUGCCUUCCCCUACCUUGUCAUAAGGUAAGUUGUGUUUCUAGUCAUUUAUAUAGUAAGUGUGGAUGUUCCUUAUCAUCUCAUGUUAGUGGGAACAUGCUUCUGAUCAUGUCUCACUAUGCUGGGGCAAACUCAGAACUUCACAUUUCUGUUUUCUGAGCACAAGUUAAAAUGUGGCAUUUUUGAAGCGUGGCUUAAAUAUUGUUUUGUUUUUCUGGCUGAGGACAUCCAAGGUUUUAAUAGCAUUUAAAGGAAAUGGGGGAAACAGUUUUAUGCAGUGAGCACUUGGCUUAAGAGCAGUUAGCAGUCUGAUGGCCACUUCUGUUACCACAUUGCUUUCUGGGGUGGCCUGGUUUUCUGACAUUGGCCCCCCUUGCUACUGCUCCAGAAAGAGGGCUCUACUACGAAUGACACCAGAAGAAGUGGAAGUCCACACUGCACCAAUGCCAGCAUUUCCUUCCUUUUCUGUAGUUAAAGCACAGUGCUGCUUAUCAGCAAAGGUUUAACUUCUGGCACUUUCCAUGUUUUUAAUAGCCAGAGUUUGAGCAGGGUAAUCACUGAGUGAGCCAAUUGGUUUUUCUCUCCAAUAUUUGAGUAAUACAAAUACCUUCAAAUUAUCAAAGAGUGAAUGGAAAUCAUGUUUUGUUAUUUGGGGAGACUCAUCACAAUCUAAUUUUAGGUGUUGGGUAAGAAUAGCAAGUUAGGAGCUUAUUUUUUUUAACGAUGAAAUGAUUUAGAUUAUCAUAGUUUUGGAAGAUGAGGGUGUGUUUGGUUUCUUUUGGCUGUGGGUACAAGAAUAUUAGUGUUUGUAUAUAAUAUCUGUAAGACUCCUUACAGAGUGCCGGGGCUUGCCAACAAUGGCACUUCCCUUUGCUUUGCCUGUCAGAAUGUAGGGCUGCAGAGGCACUUAAAGAUUUUAGACACUACUAUUACUUUGAAAUCACCUUUUUCCCCCACAAACUUACUGAAAUGAUUAAGUAUAGUGACCAUUUAAGAAAAGACAUAAGUUCCUCAGGUAAUUUUUAAUCCACUAUUGACAAUUUUUCAUUAUCAUAGAUACUCCUCAUUUGCAAUGUUCUAGAUAUAGAUGAAUCAGCAAGAGAGAUGAUGAGGGCAACUUUAUAGCCACCAACAACUGAAAACAAGGCGUCACUGUGAAAAUAUACAAGCAUGGAUUAAUUUAGGUGAACCCUAUGACAAGGAAUGGCUCCACUUUACAUUUCAGUUUUUGUUCAGAUUUUUAGAAACCUACUAUGGUGGUUGUUUAUAUUUUUAUGAGCAUAAAACAGGUGCAAUGAUGCCUUGCCCGCAUGCUCCUAACUUCCCAAUGCUCUGGAGAGUAAACAACAGAAAGAAUGAGUGAAGGUUAAAUCAAUUCCUCAGAAGCCCAUUUAUAAAACUCACAAAACAUAAAUGACUCGCACUUUAAGACAGAACGUAUAAAUUUUGACACUGGGUAAUUAGUUAUGUUGGACAUCUUUUCAUGGGUGUAUUUUACAUUCUAUCUCAUUAUUAAAGUCCAGCUUGGAGCAAAAACUCAAAUUGAAGUAAACUGAAAUCCCUCACUGAGAAUAUAUUAACCUUCGCUGAACAUCUGUGAGCUACUUAGCGAUGCUAUGGUGGAUGAAUUUCACAGAUAAUCAAAUUGGAUAUUCAUCAUCAAGCCUCAUGGCUGGGUUUCACUAAUUGAAUUAUUUUAUAAGAAUGACAAAACAAUGUAUUUCCCUGGUUUUUAAGUGGGUGGUAGUGAAAAAUGACUUUACCAAAUACCCAUUUUUGUGUGGUCUUAAUCUGGUAGCGAGAAAAAGGCAGGCAGAAACAAGAAACAGGUGCAGACAACCCUUCUAUCAUCUGGUGAAUUAUUUUAGACAAUGGUAAGGUCAAAAGAGGUUGGUAUCUUAAGGCAAAAGAAAAAUUAAAUUAUUUGAAGUCAUGUGUGUCUGUAUGUGGGUAUGAUCAUGUGAGUGCAGGUAUCCUCAGAGGUCAAAGAGUGCAUCGGAUUCCAGAACUGGAUGGAGUUAUAGACAGUUAUGCGGUCCCCACUUUGUGCUGGAAGCUGCAUGUGCAUCCUCUGCAGCAGAAGUACAUGCUCUUACCUGCUAACUGAACUAUCUCUUCAGGCCCAAGGUUGGUAUCUUGUGUCUGUAGAGUGAUUUUUCUUUUUAAGUAACUUGCUUUCUAUACUAAGAUUUUUUUCAGGUAUUGUAUCAUUAGAAACUUCAAACAUACAGAAGAACACGAGACUGUGAACAGUCAUAUACACACCAACCACCCUGACUGUAUAAGUAUACUCUCUUGUUUUCUGCUUGCAUUUAUGUGCAUAUCCACCCCCUACUCACCCAUCAAUCUCUCUACUUUUGUAUGCAUUUCAAAGUGAGUUACAGACAUCAACAUACUCCAUCCCUGAGGAUGUGCCUGCUACAUUCAAAGUUUCCAGUGCUUUCCUUUAAGCAAAGUUUGAACAGGACAUAGAGGUUUUUGCUUGUUUUUUGUUUUUUUUUUUUUUUUGUUGGUUGGUUUGUUUUUUAAAGAACGCACACUUCUGUUUUCUUGUGGCACAAAGUGUCCCUAGUAUAUAUAAAGAACGCCUGGUGCAAUCUUCAGGAGCCUGCAUUUUGACAUUGGAGGGCAAAAAUCCCGCGGUUUCUGAUAAAGGGAAACGAGUUACAGUAGCAGGAUGUGUGUGGACCUUUCUCCAGCCUCAGCUUCCAUUCCCAGGCCAGGCUUCAUCCACCCAAGGAUGACUGGCAAUCGCAGGGAACACUGGCAAUGCACCACCCUCGCACUCCUGUACUGGGGAGGAAGAGGUGUAAGGUACACAUCCGCAGUUCUCAGGGCUGUUCUUGCUCCGGACCAGAGAUGCCCCCUUUCCCACUGGUCCAUGGGAAGGAACCCAUGACUCCUGGAACCAUCAACAGCUGUCCUGCUUCAGCUCUUUUGUUGCUUCCCUUCCUCUCUACUUUCUUCACAUCUGCCCAUUCUGCCUUCUCAGAACUCCUGUUUCCUCUCCAGAUACAGGAGAACAAACGUACCCAUUUCCCCCCAAGCCAUUCUGUUUUAUGAAUGUCACAGAAAUGGUUACAGGAGACAAAAAUGACAGAUUAAAGCAUCACCUGACUUCGAAAAGGGAUUAAUUAGUUUUUCUUCAUUUAAUUAAAACAUAAAUGAUUGAGGAUUGUCCUCUCAAGACCUCAUUACUCAUUCGUGUAUUCACUCCUCUGUGUCCUGAAGUGGCGCCACACUCCUCAGAAACCUGUGUUAGUGUAGUCCCGAAAGGGAGGCUUUUCCUGAGCUUCCCCCAUCUGCCGAGUUUCCUAGGUGCCAGCUUCUGCGGCUAGCUAUGGUCCAAAGCAUUUCUAUUCAGGAGCAACACAGUCACAUGGUCCUGUCCCUUGCCUCUUAGGGAUAAGAAGGCUCCCAAAGCCUCCCAUUCCAAGUUUGUCACAACACGAGCAUGUCGCUGGCUUUUGGGCAUGUCCCUCAGGCCAGUGCUGUUCCUUGGGCUCAGUAUGCCCUAAGAUUCUUUAGAUAACUAACUUGGGUCUAUGAUUGCCUGAACACUGCCUUCUCCCCUUGUUCUUUUGAAGUGUUCAUUUUCCUGUUCCUCUGAAGUGUUGUUUGGAUAUGACAUGCUGAGAAGGAUCUUAGACUCUGCAGCCACUCAAGCAUAGAUUACCAUCCCAGGUCUGCCACUUGCUCCCGCCAAGUUCAAUUUGACCUCUGUUAAACCCUGCUAUGAUUACUGACAUUUAAGUGAGUUUCUAAUUAACAGUCAGCAUAUAUUUGUGCCAGUCUCAUAUCCACAGAAGGUACUGACACCCAAGAACUCAGUUGGGUCACCUGAUAGACCCCAGAGACUGCUCUUUCUCUCCCAAUGUUGAGAUUUGCUUAUCCUAGUGAACUUCCCACUAAUUCUUUCUUUUUUCUAAGGUCUUAAAUGACGAGCUUGGUGGGGAGCCCAGUAAAUGAUUAAGUUCUUCUAGGUAAGUGUCCCAAAUCCAAAUGUGUGCAUGUGCAUUGCAAGCCAGAGGUCAACUUCUGAUGUCACUCCUUGGGUGCUCUCUGUCUUUUCUUGUUUUUGUCUUUUGAGACAAGGCCUCUCACUGGGCUUGAAGCUGGCCAGUUGGCUUAGGUUGGCGGGCCAGUGAGUCCCAGAGAUCUGCUUGUCUCUGCCUCCUAAGUUCUGGGAUUUGUCCAUCUCUUCCCUUCCCUGCCCUGUCUUUCCUUUCUCUUCCAUUCCUUUCUUUUCCCAUCCCUUUCUUUUCUUUAUUUACCUCCUACCUUCCCUUCUCACUAACGCUGGCUGUCUCUGUUUCUCUUCCAGGUAUUGAACCUAUAGCCUACCUACUAGGCAAGUGUUUUAAAACCACUGAGCAGCGCCUGGCGUUGGUGGCGCACGCCUUUAAUCCCAGCACUUGGGAGGCAGAGGCAGGCGGAUCUCUGUGAGUUCGAGGCCAGCCUGGUCUACAGAGACCUCAGUGGAGCUAUAGAUCUGCACCCUGGAUGUCUUGGUCCCAGAGACAGGGCAACAGGCUCUUGCUAUCAAAAGUAUGUUCUUGGGAGGACCAGUGAUGGGAAUGUCCUACAGGAAGUCACAGGCAGGAUGGAGGCGAUAAAGGCUUUGAACUUGCACAGGGUCUGGGAUGUUUGGAGACUGGGAAGAAGGUUUGGUUCCUCACAAGGCUAGGAUAACAGAACCUUAGUGGGAGACUCUGAGGAUACCUGAAGACCCUGCAUGCCCGUGGAUCAAGGAGGUGUGGAGACCAGCAGAGGGGAUGGCUGUGAUCAUAUGCACAUAGAAACCAACUGGAAACCAUCUUACUUAAGUGGGUAUAUGGGCUAUUUCCCACAACCCUGAGGGAUGGGGGAAGAAAACUCAUGGGUAGAAACAACAAGAAAAGAGUGGGCAGCAAACCUUCACCUGCUUGUUUCCGUAGGAUACAUUCCAACAAACAAAAUGAACUUAAGAUUCAGAAAGACUUAAGGCGUUCUGUGUGUACAUUCUGUGUAUUUGUAUUUUUCAAGUCUAUGCUACAUCUAUUUAUCUCUGACAAAAUGUUAUUAGGGAAAGGCAGGAGAGAAAAAUUAGCCAAGCUAAUUGAUCAUUAAGUAUAAUCGUCCAUUAAGUACAAAUUUCCAUUUAUAAUCUAUUUCAUCCCAGAGGAUUUCAAUUAUUAGAUUGCUUUAUUGAUACGCUGAGGAGGUAAUCAUUAAGUGUGUAAACAAACAAUAUAAAUUUCCACAUGAGAAAGAGAAGAAUGUUUAUCAGUUAUGCAUAUUGUCAGGAAAUUAUCUAGAAGGGUGAAGAUAGGUACUAGAAGAGACAGCGGUGAGUCUCAUCUCAAAACCUAUCUCCCACCUCUUGGUGACUCCUCAAUAGUUUCAAGACAUAACCCAAUUUUGUGGCCAAUGGUUCAGUUGUAUGAACUUGGGAAAGUGGCUUGACUUCUGGGAAGCUCCAAUUCCUACUUCGUAAACAGUGGGUAAUGUUGAGACUCAUUUUGGUGAGUUUCUGGCAGAAAUAAAAGAAUUAAGCUUGAAACCUUCUAGAAACAUUCCUGAUGACCCAUGAGCCUGGGAACAUCUUUCAAGAGCAUGAAGCACAAUAUCCAGCCUCUGGUCUUACUCUCCAAUACCACUUCACCCUAUCCCUUCAUCAGAGGUAGGCCCGAUCUGACAUGAUGGUCUUGUCACACUCUCAGCUCCCAUGGUCUUAUUUUUCCUGCCCUCCCCAGGCUUCUUUUCUAUCUGGAAUGAGGGUCCCACUCUUUUCUUGCCGAAUGCUUCUCCUGGAGAAGUAAUAAGGAUUGUUAAUCCCUGCUUCUAUUUUAUUCUUUGUCUUGGCAGACCAGCUUUGGUAAGAAGAUAAUGACUUUCUUUGCAGAACCUUCAGUCUGAGCUGGACACAUCUCUCAAGGGCACUUGUGAUAAUUAGCCGAGUAUCUCAAUUGCUCCACCAUAGGAAAGAUCCUGAGGUCAGGGAGCAUGCACAUUUAUUGUAUCUGUCGAUCCUUGUCCACUGUGGCCAUCUUAGGUACUCAAUAAUGAUUUACUUUCAUUAUGUUUUGUUUCUUGGUGCUGGGGAUUAAACCCAGGGCCCUUACAUGAUAGAUAAGAUAAGCACUCACCACUGAGCUACCAUCCCAGACUCAACCAUCAUCUCCUAAAUGACUUCACUUGACAUAGCUUAUUGUGGAAUCAGGGGACCAGACAUCUCAUCUUAGCUUUGUUUCAAGCCUUCUGCCUACAUUUCAUUAGACUUACAUGGCACCAACAAGCCAGAACUAGUGACACUUUCACAGGUGCUUAUGAAUUGUAGUCUAAAAAUGAUUCCAUGUGGUACCCAGGAUAGGUCUUUCUGAUAAGGUCAGCAAGAUACUGAGCAAAAAAUAUGACAUUCAAAGUGGGGCAGGUCCCUCUCAGCUUUGCAGAUGAGCUGUGUGACUUGUUUGCUGUCUCUGAGUCUCAUUCAUUAAUUUAAAAAUGUAUCUAAGGGCUGGAAAGAUGGCUCAGUUAGUAAAAUGCUUGUGGAGCAAGUGUGAGAAUCUAGUUUAAUUCUCAGGACCCAUGUGAAAAAUCUGGGCAGGGUGUAAUGUGACUGUAAUCUCACAACUGAAACAGAGAUAGGGGCAUUCUGACUAGCCAGAGUAGCCUACUUAGCAACUUCAAGACCAGCGAAAGACCCUGUCUUAGAAAACAAAAGGCAGACAGAGUCUAAGGUAGAGCAUACUAAUUUGUUCUCUGGCCUCCAAAAGUAUUGUAUUCAGGCAUUCCUCCACCCCUCCCCUUAUAGACACAUACAGGGAAGCACAUGAAUAUACAUACAUACAUACAUACACAACUGUAGCUAGCUGCAGCUACCUUGUAAUGUGAGGAUGUUUCACCAAAACCCAGAUUUACAAUAUUCCAAUACUUUGAACAUUAGCUCCUAAGUACAUGCUCAAUAAAAAUCUGAUGACCAUGUGAAACAAACUAAAGACUAUUGAUAUAUGUGUCCCAGAGUUGCUAGCUAUCAAAACUCCACAGAAGAAGCAGAUGCUUUUAGGUUUCCUUCAGUGAAUCUCUAAGUAUAAUAAGAAAAAAAUGGGAUGGAGAGAUAGCUCAGUAGGCUAAGGUGCUUGUCGUUAAACCUGAUGGCUUGACUCCCAUCCUAGGAUCUACAUAAUGGAAGGAGUGAAUCAAUUCCAAGAAGUUCUGCAAGUUGUCCUCUGCCUCUGCAUUCAUAUUGUGGUACACACAGGGUCUGAGAACAUAAAUCUUCAUGUUCCCUGCUUCCUGUGUACCUGAAAGUGAGGACAAGAAAACUAAGGGCACCCAUUGUUCAGCAGCUACUGAAGGUGAUGGAGGCAGGGCUAUGGGUUCUCAUAGUAGUAGACUAUUACUUUCUCUUUCUUCUAUCAAGUGCUCAUGUUGUGCCUGGAGUGGUGGCACCAGUGUCCAAUCGCAAGGAGAAGACCAUAGUGCCCAAGGCCACUGGCUCCCAUUAUUUAUUGCUGUUUUUGCAUGUGCAUGUGGUGUAUAAGCGUGUGUGUAUGUGUGUUUAUGUUUGUGGAUACACAUUGUGCGAAGGUAUGUGUGGAAACCAAAGGUUGCUCCAGGGAUCCCCUGUCUCCACCUCUCUAGCACAGGGACACAGGCAGGCCACUGUGCUUGUAUGACAUUGGGAUGCUGAAGUGUGGCAGGCACUUUUCCUAUCGAACCAUUUCCCCAACUUCCAUGACCUUAAAUGUUGAGUUCCUUAACCACUACUGGUAGCUACUAGCUUCUAAACUCCUGAGAGAAAUCUAUCCCUACUCUGUUAGACCACUUUUGGUGGAUUUUAUUUUGUUUGAAGUUGACCUCAAAGAAUCUUGAGUUCACCCCAAAGAUUUCAUGUAACAGAAAAUACAUCAAUCUAAUUAACUGCAGCAAAUGAGUCACUGUCCUAUUUUGUAAGUUUCUUCCAACAGCAUGAAGUCAACCUCUUGAUGACAAUGGUUCCUUUGUUGCCUUUCUCUACUAAUUCUUUGUCAACCUCCUCUCUAUCCCAUUCCUAAGUCUCUAAGUCUGCUUUUAUCAUCUUCUCAUUGUCGUUAUUAUUAUUAUUAAUCUCACAGAGUCCAAGUUGGCUACAAACUGGCUAUUUAGCUGAGAAUGAUUUUGAACUGCCAAUCCUGCCUCAUUCUCCAGGAAUUUGUUUGCGCCACCAUGCCUAGUUUCAUGCGUUGCUAGAGAUGAUAUCCAGGGCCUCAUGCAUGCUACACGAGCCCUACCAACUGAGGCCCAGUCCUUCUCAAGUCUGAUUUAUUCUUAAGGACACACACCUGUCUGUCACUUUUUCUGUAAGCUGUGCCCUGAACCACAGUUCUCCAAUAGGACAUUUCUCUGAUUGGUCACUGUUUAGACUUUCUCAUGAAGUUGCUUUGUCUGUCUCUUUCAAUGUAUCAACACUUAUCUCAGUUUGUGUGUGUGUGUGUGUGUGUGUGUGUGUGUGUGUGUGUGUAGGCAGUGAUAACAUUAUUUCUCUUGGUUUGAUAUUAGUUUGAGAAUUAGGGGGGUCAUUGGAUUCUCCUGUUUUAACGUCUUCACAAAACAAAUGAUUGAGUUACAGUUUAAGUAAUCUGCUUCUACAUGCCAGUAACCCUGCAGAAAGAGAGAUAAAUACCGAGUGGGACAGAGACACUGCAUUAGUAGCCAUGGCCACUUAGUAAAAGCUCUUCAGCUUGAUUAUGGCUAUUCCAGGUGAGCAUGGACCAUCUAUGGAUAAGGAGCUGCUUCUAUCCAGUUCUGCAAAAAAAAUUUAAAGUAAGACUCAGGACUAAACACAAGUCAAUUAUAAAUGCUUAUUGCUCUUUCAGGGAGUUCAGUUCCCAGCACUCAUGUUUUCUGGAGAUCUGAUAACCUCCUCAGGUAUACACACACACACACACACACACACACACACACACACCAAUCAAACUCAAUUUCUCUUAGCAAACAAAAUUAUCCUUGGAAAUAACUUCUCAAGCCAGACAUAGUAAGGUCGUGUCUGUCAUCCCAGCUCUCAGGAGGGUGAAGCAGAAGGGCUGUUGUUAAGUUUGAGGUCAACAUGGGUUAUAUAAUGAGUUCUAGCCCAGUCUGGGCUACAGUAUAAAAGACUUUGCCUUCCACUCCUACCCAAUCACCACCAAAGAAAGAAACUAAAUUGCUGCUAAAUAAAAUAAGAUGGUUGAGUUUUGUUUUCUCUAAGGUCAGUCUAAUAUCUUUCUUGAAAAAAAAUGGCUACUUUGGGAGCUGCUACAGAGAGCAUAUGUAUACAGGAGACUAGGGGAAAGAUCAUGGAAUGCAGAAGUCAUGGAAACAGCAUGGAAGCCAUCCUGAAUGGCUUGCACCUGGCCAAAGCCAGGCCAAUUUGAGCAUUGUGAUAUAUUAUUUCAUUAAUAAUUUAAUUCAACCACUAAAGCAGGGAGUCCUGAAUCAUUACCCAGGAUAAACAAACUGAGAAAUUUGAGUCAUCAAGGUAUUACUCCUCCAUAUACUUAAGCCACAGAGAAGUGUUCUGCCUACAUUUAUGUCAAAUGACAGAAACUGUAGUCAUCUGAGAGGAGUAAACCUCAACUAAGAAAAAUGCCUCCAUAAGACUGGGCUGUGGGCCAGCCUGUAAAGCAUUUCCUUAAUUAGCAAUUGGUGGGGGAGGGCUUAUCCCAUUGUAGAUGAUACCAUCCCUGGCUGUGGUCCUGUGUUCUAUAAGAAAACAGGCUGAGCAAGACAUGUAGGGCAAACCAGUAAGCAGUACUCUUCCAUGCUUCUGCAUCAGCUUCUGCCUCCAGGUUCCUGCCCUGUUUGAGUUCCUGUGCUAACUUCUUUUGAUGAUAAGCAGUGAUAUGGAAGUAUAAGACAAAUAAACCCUUUCCCCUCCAACUUACUUUUGGUCAUGCUGUUUCAGUGCAGCAACAGAAACCCUAGGUAAGAUAGGAGGGGAGAGGAAUAACUGUGCAGUGAGCAGCCUGGCAGACCCUGACUUUGGAAAUGGACCUGAAUUUCAUGGGAGCGUGGGGAUGAAGAUACCUGAAUUUCAUGGGGGGGGGGAGUAUAAGCAUAACAGCAGUCCUGUGGUUAUUCCUACCUGUGAUGCCUAGCAAACAAGGAAGACCUAUAUGGGGAACUCACUUACACUCUGCAAGUAUGUCAAGCUCAUGGAGUAAUGACGGGGAAGGUCCUUCUGUGUAUAUGUUGUCUUAUUGGUUGAUAAAUAAAGCACUGUUGGCCAAUAGGGAAGCAAGAUAUGUGGAACUAGGGAUCAGGGAGGAUUCUGGGAAAUAUAGUGAAGAGGAGAGAGUCACCAUGUGAUUCUGGAAGGAGAGGAUACGUCAGGAUGGUAUGCUCAGAAAGAUAAGUCCUUAUAAAAUAUAUAUUAGUAAUAAUGGGUUAAUAAUUAAGUCAGAGCUAGCCAAUAAGAAAAUGGCCAACAGUAUCAUAAUUAAUAAAGUGUCUCUGUGUUAUUUGGGGGCUGAGACAGCAGCGGGACCCAGGAAGCUGGCAGGAAAGAAUGCUCAUUACAGAGUAAGGCUGAGCUAGUUUCCUACAGAAAAAAGGUGAAGAGUAUGAUGAUAUCUUGACACUGAUGGGGUUAGCCUGCCCUCCUCCAUCCCAGUGCUAGUUUUCCUUGACACUAUAGGGAUGUGGGAUUCUGUGUACUGGAUUUUCUUGUCAUAAGUCCAUUUCUGAGACAACUGGUACAAUUUUAAUCUCCCUCCCCUGAAAUGAUUUGAGGAUAGCAAUAUACCCAGUGUUAGCUUUUGGACUUUGAUGGUUGUGUUGUGGUUUUAUAGAAGAAAGUCCCUUGACGAUAGGAAAAUGCACACUACAAUAUUCUAGGUGAUGGGUCAACAGGCCACAAACAUACUAUACUAAAGGAACUAUACACCAAUUCCAACAUCUCUGCAAAUUUGUGAUAAUUUUGAAAGUUGAGUAUGGAGCUGAGUGUAACGGUUCACUUUUGUAAUCCUAGCACUUGGGAAGCUGAUAUAGGAAAACUGUCCAAGUUCGAAACCAGCCUGGCCUAGCUAUGUAGUAAAACUCUGUCUUCUCAAAGCAGACAAAAUCUCCCAAACAAACCUUAAUCCCCAAAGAUUUUAGAGAUAGUAUCCAAGCAAACAAUCAUUUAAAAAAUGUUACCUAACCUAGAAUUUAAAAGGGAAUUAGUUUAUUUUAUUUCAUGUAUAUGUGUUUUUCUUGCAUAUGUAUAUACCAGUUGCUUGAAGAGGCUCUGGCAUAGGAUCCCUUGGAACUAGAGUUACAAGCAAUUUUGAGCCACCACAUGGGUGCUUGGAAAUAAACCUGGGUCCUCUGUAAGAACACUGAGUGCUCUUCUUAACCAAUGAGCCAUCCCCCUUCUCUCCCCUCAGUAAUUCUUAAAAGCAAAACCAACAAUCUUCCAUUAUCAAAAAUAGACAACAGCUUUGCUUCGGUGGAAUUUGCCUGAGUAUUAUUAUCACCACCAUGGGGCACGAAAUGUGGGUGCCACCCACGUUCAGGGUGGGUCGUCUUCCCUCAGCUAUCCUUUCUGGAAUACCUACAGACACACCCAAAGGUGCACCUUAGGAAUGCCCAGGGUAUUUCUUAUCCAAUCAAAUCGACAGUCAAAUUAGUGAUGCAUUGCAUUUUAUACAGAAAUCUUGCCUUGGGCAUGUAGCUUAGUUGGGAGAGUACUUGUCACAUGGCUAUGGAUUCAAGUGCCAGUUCUGCCUAAACCAGGAGUGGUGACUGUACCUAUAAUCACAGCACUUGGGCAGUGAAGAAAGAAAGCUCAGGAGUUGAAAGUCACUAGUUAGUGAGUUUGAAACCAGAUGGAGCCACAUGAGACCCUCAAACAAAAUUUAAGCAAAAGAAAUCUUGCCCAGCUUUUGUUGCACCAGCUGACAUCUCUGCUGACCCCUCUGUCUGGAUCAUUUCUCUCUCAUGAUAGUGUUAGUCUUUCUCUUUCCGCCCCCAUGGUGGUUUCCUUGAUACCGAAAGGGAAACUCCCUCAGACCCUUGAUUCAGAAUCCAGUUCUGUUUAGUACUGGGUCCAUAUAAACUUCGGGCUCAUGUGAGUGCAUGUGAACUUGUAUGAGCAGGAGGGAACAUUUUAGAGCAGCUUCCUGGGAGGCAGCCAGGUUAUAGAAGACCCUUGGGCUUUGGUAGCAUGCUGAACACUUGUGUGUGCUCUUGGGCAAGCCGCUUGACUGCUGUGUAUCUCUUACUUGUGGAACGUGGAAAGUGUGUCACACAAGCAACGAGAUGUGUUGUGUAGAAUGUCAGAAGCUUCUUAUACACGAGGAGCCUAAGUCUGCACCAAACACCUUGAGGUGACGGGUGUGUCACUGCCCCCAGAACAGGAUGCACUGAGUAUCUCUAGUCACAGCCACAUUGACAAAUUUCUUCAUGCUCAGUGAGAAGUUUGAUAUUGCGUCAUUUAGGAUGGUGCAUGCAAUUCAACAGUAACAACCAACUCCGCAUCUCAGCAGCUUUUAGAGCAACCAAGAGUCCAUUAUUAUUAUUUUCUUCAAGCAAAGACCUCCGCAGGCCUCUGUGACCUUUCAGGAAGGUUUCCCUUUGGGAUAGUUCAGCCUUCUUCCUUAGACAGGAUUUUAUGUUGCUGAGGCAGGAAGAAAGGGGUGCAGCUGAGCUAGAGUGAUUAGAUGUUCAAGUCAGAUAGGAAGCUCAAUUUUCCUCACAUUUCAUUGGCAAAGACCAGUCCUGUGGCCUUAUUUCAAUGCAUGAAGCUAAAGUAAUGUAAUCCCUUGAAUUUCUAAAAAGUAAAUAGUGAAUGAGAACACUGAUGUCUCUCUGUCUACUGGGAGGGGGAGUUCUAAUCAAGUGUUAUUAGAAUGGUCAAGUUGGUAAGCUACACAAAAACUUUAGUGUCAUUCCAGUGAUGUCUAUGAAUGUUUCCUCUUUGAAACAAGAGUGUAGUUAUAUAUAUCACAUUUAACCUGCUUUCUCUUCCCCAUUUUUCAUCAUUCUUGCAGUUUUAUGAGUCAGAGAAGUGGCAUUGAAUCACACAAAGCAUAUACUAAGUGCUUACCACACACUGAUGGAUGAAGACCACUGUACAGAAACUACAUUUGAAAAGGCAACGGAUUGAUAGAUCCAAAGUCACAAGGCUGUGAUGGAGCCAGAAAAGGCAUUUUCCUGCGUCCUGCCAUUAGCCACAAGAGUGCUUUUAUUACUUCCUUGAGAAAAGUUGGCCCCAGCAGAGUUUUUUAUGUCUGUUGGCAGUUUCCAAAGGUGAUUGCCGUCUUCAGCCUUGGACUCUAUUCAUGCCCAGAAUGUUCUGCACAGUCAUAGGGCAAAACAAUGUCCGGCACAAUUAGAGGUAGUAACUUAACUAAUUAUUCCACAGUGAGCCUCCCAACAGAGAAAAUACAAAGUCACCACUCAGAUGCUACUGCUUCUUAGUUUUGUUUCCUGUUGCUGUGAUAAAAGACCCCAACAAAAGGAACUUUCGAGAGAACGGACUCAUUUGGCUCACAGUUCCAGGAUAUGGUCUAUUAUUGUGGGGAAGUUAAGGCAGCAGGAACAGGAAGCAGAUAAUAACAUAAUAUCCACAGUCAAGAGCCGAGAGCAGUGAAUUAAGGCAAGUGUGUUAGUGCUCAAGCUUGCUUUCUUCAUUCUUACACAGUCCAAGAUGCCCUGCCUAGGGAAUGGUGCCUCCCACAGCAGGUGGCUCUUCCAACUCCCAUUAAUGUAAUCAAGGCAAUUGUCCUCAUUCAUGCCUACAGGCCAACCUGAUCCAGACAAUUCUUUCACUGAGAUUUUUUUUCUCAAGUGAUUUUAGAUUGUGGCAAGCUGACCACUAAAACUGACCAUCAUGCCAGGUGGUGCGGGCACAUGUUUUUAAUCCCAGCACUCAGGAGGCAGAGGUAGGCAGAUCUCUGUGAGUUGGAGGCCAGCAAGGUCUACAGAGUUGAGUUCUAGAACAGCCGGGCUGUUACACAGAGAAACCCUGUCUCAAAAAAACAAAAACCAAAGCAAAACAAAAAACUGACCCUCACAUACUCAGUAAAGUUACUAAGCUCCAGUCAGAAUUAAUGGUCAUUCACAUUAACAGCUUGCCUGGUGGCUGUUUAGGAGGAGAAAGGGGACUGGAAAGAGGGGGAUAUUGAUACCAGAAA